UCCACGCUGUAAACGAUGAGUACUAGCUGUUGGAUUCGGUGUAAAGGAUCUAGUGGCGCAGCUAACGCGUUAAGUACUCCGCCUGGGGACUACGGCCGCAAGGCUAAAACUCAAAGGAAUUGACGGGGACCCGCACAAGCGGUGGAGCAUGUGGUUUAAUUCGAUGCAACGCGAAGAACCUUACCUGGUCUUGACAUCCUGAGAACUUUCUAGAGAUAGAUUGGUGCCUUCGGGAACUCAGUGACAGGUGCUGCACGGCUGUCGUCAGCUCGUGUUGUGAAAUGUUGGGUUAAGUCCCG
rnacentral:rRNA from 1 species